rnacentral:rRNA from 1 species
CCUACGGGAGGCAGCAGUAAGGAAUAUUGGUCAAUGGACGAAAGUCUGAACCAGCCAUGCCGCGUGAAGGAUGACGGCCCUCUGGGUUGUAAACUUCUUUUAUCUGGGACGAAAAAAGGGUAUUCUUACUCACUUGACGGUACCAGAGGAAUAAGCACCGGCUAACUCCGUGCCAGCAGCCGCGGUAAUACGGAGGGUGCAAGCGUUAUCCGGAUUUACUGGGUUUAAAGGGUGCGUAGGUGGGUUGGUAAGUCAGUGGUGAAAUCUCCGAGCUUAACUCGGAAACUGCCAUUGAUACUAUCAAUCUUGAAUACUUUGGAGGUAAGCGGAAUAUGUCAUGUAGCGGUGAAAUGCUUAGAUAUGACAUAGAACACCAAUUGACGAAGGCAGCUUACUACACAGUCAUUGACACUGAGGCACGAAAGCGUGGGGAUCAAACAGGAUUAGAUACCCUGGUAGUCCACGCCCUAAACGAUAGGAUACUCGACAUCAGCGAUACACUGUUGGUGUCUGAGCGAAAGCAUUAAGUAUCCCACCUGGGAAGUACGAUCGANAAGAUUAGAAACUACAAAGUAGUAAGUUAGUACGGACGUAGAGACGUACGACCGAACGGACGACCGACGGAGGGGAGGAGGG